rnacentral:piRNA from 1 species
AAUUCUAGGGAACCGGUCUUUGG